AGCGAAACUCACAAAGAGACAAGUUGUUGGAGGAGGCCCAGCAGAUGAUACAGGGCUGUCCGAAGCUUGCAGAAGGAAACCGACAGCUGGUCACCACUCACAGGUGUGCUCUGUACCGGAGUCUGGAGGAGCAGCUCCCAGACAGCGUCAAGGCUCUGGAGCAGGUGGCACACUUGAGCUUGUUCCUCUUCACAGACGCUCUGGUCUUGACCCGCCUCAGCCUGGAUCACGUCCCGUUUGGCCUGGCUCACACCUGCACCUACAGCUU